AUUGAACGCUGGCGGCAGGCUUAACACAUGCAAGUCGAGCGGGGUGAUGGUGCUUGCACUAUCACUUAGCGGCGGACGGGUGAGUAAUGCUUAGGAAUCUGCCUAUUAGUGGGGGACGACAUCUCGAAAGGGAUGCUAAUACCGCAUACGUCCUACGGGAGAAAGCAGGGGAUCACUUGUGACCUUGCGCUAAUAGAUGAGCCUAAGUCGGAUUAGCUAGUUGGUGGGGCAAAGGCCUACCAAGGCGACGAUCUGUAGCGGGUCUGAGAGGAUGAUCCGCCACACUGGGACUGCGACACGGCCCAGACUCCUACGGGAGGCAGCAGUGGGGAAUAUGGGACAAUGGGGGGAACCCUGAUCCAGCCAUGCCGCGUGUGUGAAGAAGGCCUUAUGGUUGUAAAGCACUUUAAGCGAGGAGGAGGCUCUUUUGGUUAAUACCCAAGAUGAGUGGACGUUACUCGCAGAAUAAGCACCGGCUAACUCUGUGCCAGCCGCCGCCGUAA
rnacentral:rRNA from 1 species